AAUGAGUACACUCUAAAUCCUUUAACGAGGAUCAAUUGGAGGGCAAGUCUGGUGCCAGCAGCCGCGGUAAUUCCAGCUCCAAUAGCGUAUACUAAAGCUGCUGCGGUUAAAAAGCUCGUAGUUGGAUCUCAGUUCCAGACGAGUAGUGCAUCUACCCGAUGCGACGGCUCGGACUGAACAUCAUGCCGGUUCUUUCUUGGUGCACUUCAUUGUGUGCCUCGAGAUGGCCGGUGCUUUUACUUUGAAAAAAUUAGAGUGCUCAACGCAGGCGAGUCGCCUGAAUAAACUUGCAUGGAAUAAUAGAACAAGACCUCGUUUCUGUUCUGUUGGUUUUUGGAAUACGAGGUAAUGAUUAAGAGGGACGGACGGGGGCAUUCGUAUUGCGGCGCUAGAGGUGAAAUUCUUGGACCGUCGCAAGACGAACUACUGCGAAAGCAUUUGCCAAGAAUGUUUUCAUUGAUCAAGAACGAAAGUCAGAGGUUCGAAGGCGAUCAGAUACCGCCCUAGUUCU
rnacentral:rRNA from 1 species